CCCUGGUUAGCUCAGUUGAAAGAGCGCUCCACCUGUAAUGGAGAGGUCCCGGGUUCGAUACCCGGGCCAGGCG
rfam:Ixodes scapularis strain Wikel colony gcontig_1107728965908, whole genome shotgun sequence.